rnacentral:lncRNA from 1 species
CCGGUCUCUCAAAGCAACUACAACGUUUCCGGGCAGUGUGAGGUCACACGAGCUAGCAGUGUAGUCUUGCUGGCUGCGCGGUGAUAGCGCUCGCUCCAUGAAUUCUGUUAAGUGCUGAGGAGCUUCGGGGAAGAGGCAACACUCUAAUCUAGGAGUCAGGAAGAAAAUGACUAGUAAAGAGAGUGAGGACCUUGUACGAUGACACAGUUGGGAUCUGAGCGUUUGAUGAGUCACAGAACACUGGGAACAUUUGAAGGAGUAGAUCUGGAAAGAAGACCACACUUUUGUAUUCUUAGAGAUAUAAAGGGCACAGAACAUGAAAGAAUAUGGAAUCAGUCUUGGCAUUAGAAAGUUUCCCCGUUUCCAAUUUAAAAAAAAAGGAAGCAAAAAGAAAGAAAGAAAGAAAGAAAGAAAGAAAGAAAGAAAGAAAGAAAGAAAAAGAAAAGAACGAAAGAAGUUUCUUAGUAACAGCAGACAUGUAGGAAAAGUUUGUUAUAAUGGCAGGCUAUUCAGGUAGUUCUUGGCCACCAGCCACAGCCUAGAACAGCAGAGGAUCUUUACCAUCCAGUGGGGAGUAAGGACCAUCCAUUUUGUCAGAUCUGAAUCCUUCCUUUGGCACCUGUUUCCAGCCGUCCCCAGACAAAGGAUGCAUAUCGGGAGGCAGUAUCUCUGGAAGGAGCAGAGUAGGAAAGCUUGCAGCUUGGUCAUCCCACAGCUUUCUGUGAUGGGCUGAAGGCACCAGAGACUUCCACAGACAGGAGAAAUAUGGCCUCUGCCUCAAGAAGCUGGUAUUGACAAGAAGCUGGCUGGAAACAAGA